CUUGAGAGUGUUGGAAAUAUCAUCUAGUUUUGUUUAUCUCGACUUAACUAACUGUUGCCACGUUCCUGCCAGUCUAAAUUUAGAUGUAAACCAGCCCGGUUUUCAUUCUCGGCGGUGUCAAAUACGACAGGAAACACAUAGCUUCAGUGGAAUUUGAAAAGGGAAGUAGUAGGAUGAUGUCAACAGUGAUUAACUUGACCCUACAAGGCUGACAACUAGCAAGAUUAAAGGUCCACACCAUAGAAGGAAGUGAGACAGCUCGGUAAAAGGAGAAGUCCCAUUCAGAGUCAGACAUCGAUGAAUAAAGACUUCAGAGAAUUACGAAGUUGAAACCACAACAUGGAAGACACCUGGGGCUGACAAGGGAGUCUUUGGAGAUGCGCUUCCUGGGAGGACUAUGUGCCCAGGAACACCUAGAGUAGUGUUUUUGCUUUGUUUAAGAGUGACUUGUAUGAGAGAAAAAUCUAUUUUCCAUAAAAAUAAAAAAAGAAUGACUGAAACUC